rnacentral:rRNA from 1 species
AAGGUUAAACGGCCGCGGUAUUCUGACCGUGCAAAGGUAGCAUAAUCACUUGUUCCUUAAUUAGGGACUAGAAUGAACGGCCAAACGAGGGUUUAACUGUCUCUUAUUUCUCAUCAGUGAAAUUGACUUUCCCGUGAAGAGGCGGGAAUACUAAAAUAAGACGAGAAGACCCUAUGGAGCUUUAAUUUAUUAAUUUAUUUCUUCCUAAUAAAAAUCUAAUGAAAUAAUACUUGAAAUUUAAAUUAAUAAUUUUGGUUGGGGUGACCUCGGAGAACAAUAUAACCUCCGAAAGAUUAUAGUUCAGACUGACAAGUCAAAACAUAAAUAUUAAUCAAAUUGACCCAAUCACUUGAUCAACGAACCAAGUUACCCUAGGGAUAACAGCGCUAUCCUAUUUAAGAGUUCAUAUCGAAAAUAGGGUUUACGACCUCGAUGUUGGAUCAGGAUAUCCCAA